GUGGGGCUAUAGCUCAGUGGCAGAGCACUUGCCUUGCAAGUGUAAGGCACUGGGUUCAAUCCUCAGCACCACA
rnacentral:tRNA from 1 species